GGGGGCGAAACGGCUUCGACGUAGCUAGAAAACUUUAAGUUGCAUGCCGAGGUCCUGUCCGCUCGUAAAACGGGUAGGAAAAACAUAACUGCCGACAACUACGGCUACGCUCUAGCC
rnacentral:tmRNA from 1 species